rnacentral:rRNA from 1 species
GACGAACGCUGGCGGCGUGCUUAACACAUGCAAGUCGAACGGAAAGGCCCUGCUUUUGUGGGGUGCUCGAGUGGCGAACGGGUGAGUAACACGUGAGUAACCUGCCCUUGACUUUGGGAUAACUUCAGGAAACUGGGGCUAAUACCGGAUAGGAGCUCCUGCUGCAUGGUGGGGGUUGGAAAGUUUCGGCGGUUGGGGAUGGACUCGCGGCUUAUCAGCUUGUUGGUGGGGUAGUGGCUUACCAAGGCUUUGACGGGUAGCCGGCCUGAGAGGGUGACCGGACACAUUGGGAAUGAGAUACGGCCCAGACUCCUAAGGGAGGCAGCAGUGGGGAAUAUUGCACAAUGGGCGGAAGCCUGAUGCAGCAACGCAGCGUGCGGGAUGACGGCCUUCGGGUUGUAAACCGCUUUCGCCUGUGACGAAGCGUGAGUGACGGUAAUGGGUACAGAAGCACCGGCUAACUACGUG